rnacentral:rRNA from 1 species
CACUGCCGAGAAAAGCCUCUAGCUAGAAUAACGGUGCCCGUACCGCAAACCGACACAGGUAGUCAAGAUGAGAAUUCUAAGGUGAGCGAGCGAACUCUCGUUAAGGAACUCGGCAAAAUGACCCCGUAACUUCGGGAGAAGGGGUGCUCUUUGAGGUUCACGCUUCGAAGAGCCGCAGUGAAUAGGCCCAAGCGACUGUUUAUCAAAAACACAGGUCUCUGCUAAACCGUAAGGUGACGUAUAGGGGCUGACGCCUGCCCGGUGCUGGAAGGUUAAGAGGAGUGGUUAGCGCAAGCGAAGCUACGAAUCGAAGCCCCAGUAAACGGCGGCCGUAACUAUAACGGUCCUAAGGUAGCGAAAUUCCUUGUCGGGUAAGUUCCGACCCGCACGAAAGGCGUAACGAUUUGGGCACUGUCUCAACGAGAGACUCGGUGAAAUCAUAGUACCGGUGAAGAUGCCGGUUACCCGCGACAGGACGGAAAGACCCCGUGGAGCUUUACUGUAGCCUGAUAUUGAAAUUCGGUACAGUUUGUACAGGAUAGGUAGGAGCCUUAGAAGCGUGAGCGCUAGCUUACGUGGAGGCAUUGGUGGGAUACUACCCUAAUUGUAUUGGAUUUCUAACCCGCAGCACUUAUCGUGCUGGGAGACAGUGUCAGGCGGGCAGUUUGACUGGGGCGGUCGCCUCCUAAAGAGUAACGGAGGCGCUCAAAGGUUCCCUCAGAAUGGUUGGAAAUCAUUCAUAGAGUGUAAAGGCAUAAGGGAGCUUGACUGCGAGACCUACAAGUCGAGCAGGGUCGAAAGACGGACUUAGUGAUCCGGUGGUUCCGCAUGGAAGGGCCAUCGCUCAACGGAUAAAAGCUACCCCGGGGAUAACAGGCUUAUCUCCCCCAAGAGUUCACAUCGACGGGGAGGUUUGGCACCUCGAUGUCGGCUCAUCGCAUCCUGGGGCUGUAGUCGGUCCCAAGGGUUGGGCUGUUCGCCCAUUAAAGCGGUACGCGAGCUGGGUUCAGAACGUCGUGAGACAGUUCGGUCCCUAUCCGUCGUGGGCGUAGGAAAUUUGAGAGGAGCUGUCCUUAGUACGAGAGGACC